UGAACCCUUAUAAAAUCCUAUUUUAAAACCCUAAAGCCAUUCCCUUUCUCUGCCACUUUUGUGGUGCGCCGCAACUCCUCUCAAAACCCCUCCUCUGCCGUUCCAAUCUCCUCCCUUUUCCGACCAGAUAACAGCUAACGAGAGCGCCCAACGAAUCUCUCGACGGUACAUGCGUGUAUGGGAAUUGCUGCGACGUGGGGCAUGCACGGCACUGGAGGUUGCUGAGACGUGGGAUGUUGUUGCGAGGGAAGAACGUGGGCAGUUGCGGCAUGGGGCGAUGGUGGCGUCGAGGCUCUCUGCUAGUUAGGCUAGGGAUUUGGGUUAAUGACUUGGGCUUGUAAUGGGUUUGGGCCUUAGGCUUAGUUGGGCCCGGACAAUAAUUGGGUAUUACAUAUAAUAUAAUACAAUAUAAUACAAUAUAAUAUAUUAUAUUAUAUAAUAAAAUAAUAUAUAUAAAACAUAAAAAUCUAAGAUUUUUAUCACUUAUACCGUCCCAUUUCUUGUUAAUGGCUUAAUUGCCAUUUUAAUCCUUUUUAUUUUCUAUUAAUCUAUAAUUCAACUUUUACCCCUA